GAAGCUCCUUUCAGAUAGAGACAAGGGAUAUUUGACUUCUUAUCUCUGUUGUCCAGCACAAUGUCCAGAACACAACAGAUAUUCCAUAUGCACAGUCACAUGCUAUGUAUGUGUAUUUUCUUUCCAGAAAGGACUAGAGGUCCUAAGCUUUGUUAAUAUCAUGAGCCAGUGCCCACAUGAGCAGGAGAAUUUUAGCACAGUCACCUACACACUCAUUUCGAUGCUCUGACCCCUUAUCCAAGCCAGUCAAAGUGUGGUCUAUGGUUUUGCAUUUUAAAGAGAUCCCUGGGUGAAUCUUGUGCAUGUUACAGGGAAGCACUGUCCUACAUCCUAUGUGACAGGCUCUCAUAGUCACCAUCAUCAUGGGAAUCUUGCACAUGUUACAGGGAAGCACUGUCCUACAUCAUAUGUGACAGGCUCUCAUAGUCACCAUCAUCACGGGAAUCUUGCACAUGUUACAGGGAAGCACUGUCCUACAUCGUAUGUGACAGGCUCUCAUAAUCACCAUCAUCAUGUGAUCUUGUGCAUGUUACAGGGAAGCACUGUUCUACAUCGUAUCUGACAGGCUCUCAUAGUCACCAUCAUCACAGGAAUCUUGUGCAUGUUACAGGGAAGGACUGUCCUACAUCGUAGGUGACAGGCUCUCAUAAUCACCAUCAUCACGGGAAUCUUGUGCAUGUUGCAGGGAAGCACUGUCCUACAUCGUAUGCGACAGGGUCUCAGAGUCACCAUCAUCGUGGGAAUCUUGUGCAUGUUACAGGGAAGCACUGUCCUACAUCAUAUGUGACAGGCUCUCAUAGUCACCAUCAUCACGGGAAGCUGCAUUUAGAGCAUUUAACUGUAUGGGCUCUGAAAUCAGAUGACUUAGGUUUGGGCUUGCCUCUACUUCUUACUAAGCAGAGAACUUUGGGGCAUGAUACUUAAUUUUACUAGGCUCAGUUUUAUCAUGUGUAAAUUGGAGGCAAGGGGAAAUUAUAGCAUUUUGCAUAGAAUAUUGUUUUAAGUAUGAA
rnacentral:lncRNA from 1 species